rnacentral:misc_RNA from 1 species
AAGUCGUAACAAGGUUUCCGUAGGUGAACCUGCGGAAGGAUCAUUAGCGAGAGCCUGCCGCAGACUCGUGCGAGUCUGUGCGCAAGCGCGCCAUCCUUGUGUUGUGUGUGACGUGUUGUGUGCGCAAUGCCACUGUUGCCAAGGUGGCAGUGGCGUCUGCGCAUGCGCAUUUUUUUCACUCCAUUUCAUCGCAUUUAUUCUAAUUACUGCUGCUCGCAUGAGCACAAACAACCGAAAACUGCCAGCAAUGGAUCACUCGGUUCUC